GGGGAAUAUUGCACAAUGGGCGGAAGCCUGAUGCAGCAACGCCGCGUGAGGGAUGACGGCCUUCGGGUUGUAAACCUCUUUUAGCAAGGAAGAAGCGAAAGUGACGGUACUUGCAGAAAAAGCGCCGGCUAACUACGUGCCAGCAGCCGCGGUAAUACGUAGGGCGCAAGCGUUAUCCGGAAUUAUUGGGCGUAAAGAGCUCGUAGGCGGUUUGUCGCGUCUGCUGUGAAAACCCGAGGCUCAACCUCGGGCCUGCAGUGGGUACGGGCAGACUAGAGUGCGGUAGGGGAGAUUGGAAUUCCUGGUGUAGCGGUGGAAUGCGCAGAUAUCAGGAGGAACACCGAUGGCGAAGGCAGAUCUCUGGGCCGCAACUGACGCUGAGGAGCGAAAGCAUGGGGAGCGAACA
rnacentral:rRNA from 1 species